UCGAGAAUUUUUCUCAAUGGGGGAAACCCUGAAGGAGCGACGCCGCGUGGAGGAUGAAGGCUUUCGGGUUGUAAACUCCUGUCAUUUGGGAACAAGGUGGACGUGUUAACUGCACGUGCAUUGAUAGUACCAGAAGAGGAAGAGACGGCUAACUCUGUGCCAGCAGCCGCGGUAAUACAGAGGUCUCAAGCGUUGUUCGGAUUCAUUGGGCGUAAAGGGUGCGUAGGUGGCGCCGUAAGUCGGGUGUGAAAUUUCGGAGCUUAACUCCGAAACUGCAUUCGAUACUGCGGUGCUUGAGGACUGGAGAGGAGACUGGAAUUCAUGGUGUAGCAGUGAAAUGCGUAGAGAUCAUGAGGAAGACCAGUGGCGAAGGCGGGUCUCUGGACAGUUCCUGACACUGAGGCACGAAGGCCAGGGGAGCAAACGGGAUUAGAUACCCGGGUAGUCC
rnacentral:rRNA from 1 species